UACGGGGGGAGCAAGCGUUGUUCGGAUUUACUGGGCGUAAAGGGCGCGUAGGCGGUCAGCACAAGUCAGUUGUGAAAUCUCCGAGCUUAACUCGGAAAGGUCAACUGAUACUGUGCGGCUAGAGUGCGGAAGGGGCAACUGGAAUUCUCGGUGUAGCGGUGAAAUGCGUAGAUAUCGAGAGGAACACCUGCGGCGAAGGCGGGUUGCUGGGCUGACACUGACGCUGAUGCGCGAAAGCCAGGGGAGCGAACGGG
rnacentral:rRNA from 1 species